GACGAACGCUGGCGGCGUGCUUAACACAUGCAAGUCGAACGGAAAGGCUCCAGCUUGCUGGAGUACUCGAGUGGCGAACGGGUGAGUAACACGUGGGUAAUCUGCCCUGCACUCUGGGAUAAGCCUGGGAAACUGGGUCUAAUACUGGAUAUGACCUUUCUCCUUAUGGGGUUUGGUGGAAAGUUUUUCGGUGUAGGAUGAGCCCGCGGCCUAUCAGCUUGUUGGUGGGGUGAUGGCCUACCAAGGCGACGACGGGUAGCCGGCCUGAGAGGGUGAUCGGCCACAUUGGGACUGAGAUACGGCCCAGACUCCUACGGGAGGCAGCAGUGGGGAAUAUUGAACAAUGGGCGGAAGCCUGAUGCAGCGACGCCGCGUGAGGGAUGACGGCCUUCGGGUUGUAAACCUCUUUCAGCAGGGACGAAGCGUAAGUGACGGUACCUGCAGAAGAAGCACCGGCUAACUACGUG
rnacentral:rRNA from 1 species